UGGUCGCGCACCCGGCUCACCUCAACAACAAAGCGCGGUUUCCUCCCUCGCCAUCCUUCCUCGUGGUCGCGCACCCGGUUGGAUUUCACAGUCAUGGAAGUUCUGCUUUAAAAUCCGUUUCUGAAGAAGUGUUAAUGUAUAAGAAAAACAGCAGACGAACACCAGGUGAGGGAGAGUGUAUUAAACACCUGGACGGUACUCCGCAAAUAUGACACAGUCACCAAAGACAAGUUUGAGAAUCUGUCUCAGACAAGAUCUUGACACUGCUGACCAGGGACAAAAUGUCCCAUUGACAGUCAUGCUCUGGAGCAGGAUGGGCAGUGAGAGACCAGAGACCACAGGAUGGUGGAAAAGCCAGGAAAUUUGUGAGCCGACCAAACCGGAUUUGAAUUCUCUUUCUGAAAAUAAGUAAUUAUGGGAAACACAAAUGCUGACCUCAAGGAGAAGCUGAAGCCAAGAGUAUUAAUCACAGUGGUGAAGAUAAGAAAGAUGACCCCAAGUAAGAAAGCCCAGAAAGGCACUUGCUGUUGACUCCCUCAGAAAGAACACCACGAAAGACCAUGGAUCAUGUAAAUAAGAAGAAGAAAGAAAGUAAGGAAGAAACACCAUACCUUGUUGAGAGCUGUAAAUGGUAUGAUAUUUUACUCCAUGUGGAGCUAACAAACUAGCCUGUCACAACUUCAAGGAUGCUGUCGGAAGACACAAGAUUCCUGGGUCAGAGCCAAAGGACCGUAUCAACGAUGGCAGUGCCUGGGCAUCCCACAUGUGUGUUUAUUCUCCUUGCCCAGAAAAAUGGUGUGGAACGCCCUCGAUGAAACGUGUACACAGUGGGUUGCAUGACAGGAGAAAAUCUCAGAGACUUAGGAACCCAAAUAUGUUAUUGUGAGCAGUGAGCAUUGCUGCCCUUGGCUCCCCGGGAAGACAACAUCUGUAUCUUCCAACAGUGUUAACUGCACAGACAUCCUUGAAAAGAUAGUCCAGAACAAAGGGUGGUUAGUGCCUUGCUGGCAAAAUGUGAUAAAAAUAUGACACUCUUUGAAAUUAUCGUCCAAUGUGUCUUUCCCAUAUGAAAUAGACAACACUUUAAACACAACUUUAAUUAAAUUUUUAUACAUUCCAAUUUGGGAAGCAGUGAUAAUUUAAAUUAUGACAAAAUUCACUGGAUGGCAGUGUCAGGGAGAGAAUGGGGAGGCCAUGCUGAGAAAAUGUUUAUACGUGCAAAGGAAGAGAAUUGCGUAGGACCUCAUAAACAGCUUUUGACUUUGCCAGUGACAAACUCAAGUGUGCUACGGAAGAGUCAGCUCCUGCAACCUGGAGCGGAGGCAAGGGGUCCGUCCUCAGUAAGUGUGGUGGGUCAAAUGGUGCCCCCAAAAACCUCAGAAUGUGACUGUGCUUGAAAUAAGAGUCUUUGCAGAGACAAAGAAGGAGACACAGAGAGACAAAGAGACGAAGAGAGGAGGGUGAUGUGAAGAUGGACGCAGAGAUCAAAUCCAUGAAGCUAAGGAAUUCCAGGAAGCGGAGAGAGCUGGGACAGAGAUAUGGAACAGACCCUCUCUCUGAGCUUCCAGAAGGUGUGAUUUUGGACUUCUCAUCCGCAGCUCUGGGAGAGAAUAAAUUUCUGUUGUUUUAAGCCA
rnacentral:lncRNA from 1 species